rnacentral:lncRNA from 1 species
GGGGACUGAGAAAUCCUGUUGAGCUGCGUUCCCAAGAGGAAAGGAAGUUGUUUUGGUGGAUACCUCGCAGCUUCAGCCACAGCAGUGGAACGAAGCAGGUGCCUCUCCUUACCCCCUAUCCACUCCCUGUUAGGUAGGAUCCAGGUCGGCUAAGCAUGCUGGCUUCAACAGCAGGGAUGUGAGGUGAGGGAGGACAGCGAUGCAGGAGGAAUGGAGAUGCGUCUAACACGGGGUCAGACGGCAGAUUCGAGGGCUCCCUGAUGAAUGAGCAAACGCUGGCUCCAGCAUAUUUACUGCGUCACCUAAUUGUCUUGGGGCUGCAGUUGAUAAAGGAAUCUACAAUCAACUUUUUAACCCAGUCCAGAGUUGUUGUAUGUACACUCGAGACCCAAAGGAAGGACAGAGAAUUUUCCUCACCUCAGCCCAAAAGGAGGCUGGAAUGCAUGCUUGCCUGCCACAGUUUCCACUUACUUACCACCAUCAGUCAGCAGGCUUUUAGGAGAGAAUUGCACGUGUGAUUUAUUUGCAAAUCCUUUCAGGUCCUGGAGGAGAGAUACUUGGUACACAAUGCACUUUGUCAUCACGUGUCAACAUCCCCUCAAUGCAGGGAGCAGCACUACACGAUGUAAAGGUGGAACUGGAUUGUGCUGGGAUCCUUCAAUCAGCAUUUCAUUUAGAGCUGCAGCAUUUGCAGAGCCAUUUGCAAUUGAUGCCAGCCCCUUGGAGGGGGUCAGCGUGUAGAAGACAAAGGACAGCCAUAAAGCCACUGAAUGCAAACUUUAUAUUUA